ACGAAAAGAAGUAACGAGGGCGGCAUGGUCAUUAUGUAGCUGAGCUUUUGCUCAUGACUAUGAACACAAAAUGAAUGCCGGGAAUUAUGGCAGAAUUUAAGACCAUCGACCGUCGGAGAUGGAGACGACUAAACCCUAAUAUAAAGGUGAAGCUGUGCUCAAGACGAAUUUAGCAAUACUGUACAGGUAAAUCCGAUCAUAUCUACAAUUGUCAUAUAUUGCUGAUUGCAUACAAUGGAUAAUUUCGCCCUGCCUCCAGCUGACGACAGAAAAGAUAAAAUUAAUACAAAGGGAUGACGAGGAUUGAUAACAUCUAGAUGUGGCGUCACCAAGGUUGAUAGGAGCACUCAUGGUAUAGAUAUGAACCCUGCGGAUGAUUGCCAACCUAUUAGUGGAUAAAAAUUCGAACAGGUAUCAUCAUCAUCAGCAGCAUGGCUGUGUGGAAUUCAAGUUGGCGAGCCGAGCAUAAGGCCGACCUGAGGCAAGAGAUAUUUGUGUACGUGGGGAAACCAAAGGGCAUGGUACCCUGGAGAUAAGUCCAUCCUUCACAGCACAAGCCGCUGGAUGCAGGUGACUGAGCAUCCACACGCUCCCCGGACGUUCGUCAACCUUGACCGAUAAUUGCUGCGGGUGUGAGCAGAGGUUAGACUAAAAUAUAUGUGAACUGUUGACCCAAAGCUUUUAUCUAAAAAUGAUAUGAUGUGAACUGUCCAGGAAUGCAAACUAGAGCCAAGAACAAAACUAAAUGUCAUCAGGUAAGGGCCGUCUGUUUACAGUCCGAGUUCAUUCCAUCGUCCUAAUAAGGAAGAAGGGCAAAAAUAGCCUGACAUUACAUGUUUCGGGAGAUUCACCGUCUGCUCGGCGGAUACAGCACCGCCACUAACAGGAUCUGGUGAAGUCAGGAUCGGGUGAUCAGACCUGUUCUUGACAAUGGCCCACACAGCUUGUCAGGCCAUACAGUAAUGGGCGAGGAGACAGUAAGAUGCGUUUUUCCUGACUGGGAAACGAGAGAUCGUUAGCCACUGGAUCGAUGGGACACAAGGAAACGACUGUCACAAGCUGCUGAUGCAGCGCUGUAAAGAUGGGGGACACUUGCUGGACACUAAACAUCUUCUUGGACAUCCUUUGGGACCUACAGAAGAAUCGCAUGACAACCAACAUUAUUUCAACUGUAGAAAGAACCAGUUCUGCAAUGAGAAACUAGUACUGGUGAAUACUCCAACUGGUCAUAGAAUUCUACUCAAAGACUUUUACAGGUGACAGUUUCUGACUGACUAAAAUUAACGAAACUAACCACAACUUGGAUUUUACACAUUACUCGUGUCGGCGACUCUUUUCUCUUUUUUAUCAAUGCCUAGCAUUUCUGUUGUCUGGUGUUGUAUCUCUGAUUAGUAUCAUUUCUCUGAUUUACAGGUGACAGUAGUUGCUGUAAAUCUGCGUAUUUUCCUUCUUUUUUUUCUUUUUUUUUUUUGCCAUCUUGAUUUCUACCUUCUUUUAUAAAGUGUUUUACAAGUAGAGAUAUUUUUAACACGAGUGGAUGUCGAAACAAAUGAAUCAUGACUCAGCAGGCUCCUUGUUGUUUCCACCACGGAAGUACAUUUCUAUGUCCGUGGUUUUCAUUCAAGACAUCCUUGGGAGUAAGGCGGUGUAUGGUCAACCCAUCAAGCCAAUGCCAGGUGACAGACGAGAAUCAAACAGUCAUUAUAGUCACAGGUGUGAGCAAUCAGUGUGCAGUGAGAGGAUAAAUUACUCACAAAAUGUCUCCUCCUCCUCCACCCUACAUCCACCCACACACUCGUCUCCAUUGCCCUCCUGUGACCAGCUUGUUGCCAUGUGACUGACCCGCUAAGAUCUUGAGAAGCAGGUUUGACAGUGACCUCAACAUGCAACAUGCAGGUGACGGUUUUUCAGAUGCCACUCCGAAAAAAAGUGUUUUUUUUUCGGUCCCUCCCCCUACUCUCAGUGAAUUAUUUCCCUAGCUACUUCAGAGCUUUACAUGUGGCGAGUGUGAAGAAAGUGUGUUACAAGCUGUAAAACUCUCAUUGGCACAGUUUACAGGCCUGAAGAGUGAUGGCGGCUGCUGGAUGGGAAAGAGCAAACGAGCUCAAGAACGAAAGGUUGCUGCUGGUGUCAAGGAGAACAUAAGAAUCUAGUUAGCCACUGUUUGCGGUUAUUUCUGUGUGAAUGGGUGGAGUGGGGUUUGGUAAUGAAGACAGAAAACAACCACAUUUUUCACUCCUUUCUUCUUCCGGGUUGUCUAUCUCGCGCACGCGCACACACACACAGCUAAAGAUCUUGUAGCACGAAUGGUCCUCUUUCCCCAUCCUGUAACUACUACAGCACGUGACCCCAGGGAAUGAAAAGCCAUUCCUGUUUAAUGAAGUGUCAAGGCCAGCGACCAUGAGCAGGCAGAAGAGGCAGAGCCGGUUACUGAGGCCUCCUUAUCUGUCGUCUGCCUCAGCCUCGGUUGCCCUAGCAAGGAUCUGGAACAAGCCCUCCCCUCCAUCCUCCCACAAGCACCGCAAGCCUCCAUUCCCGCCGGGAAAGAUUUUGUCGCUUCGCCAUUGAUGAAGAAAGCUCUGGAAUCGAUUUCUUUUUUUUUUCUGUUUUUUUUU